UGAGUGCGGAACACAACACAUCAGAACCAUAUGCCGCCUACAUACACACAAUUAGAUCAGUUUUACUUAAUAAUGCCUGUGUAACACCAUCCUAUCUCUUGCAUCCGAGAAGUAAUUGCAGAGAGCAUCAUAUUAAGGCUCUCUACACUCAAGAGAGACACACGUGUGGCUAUCAUGCCAAGCAAGAACGCGCUACAAACAGAACAGAUUAGCAAUAGAGAUGAAGCUUCUAAAGUCGUUUCAGUCCGCCCCAGGAAGAGGAAAGCAGACGUGGCUAUUCACUUGCAAGAUCCAGAUGAAGAAGUCACUGGGAUGACUAGAAAGAAACCUUGUGCAUCUCAGGCCUGCUGGAAUCCUGACACAGGUUACACAAGCCCAUGCAGGCGGAUCCCCACACCUGAUGAAGUUGAGGAACCGGUUGCUGCUCGCAGCGUGGGAUUCACACAGUAUUCCUCAGAAGACUUUUUCAUAACUCCCACACGCUCUACCCCUCUGCCUGCCCUCUGCUGGGCGAGCAAAGAUGAUGUGUGGAACAACUUGCUUAGAAAGGACAAACUGUACCUGCGAGAUACACAAGUUAUGAAGAGACAUCCAAAUCUUCAACCCAAAAUGAGAGAAAUUCUACUGGAUUGGCUAAUGGAGGUUUGUGAGGUGUAUAAAUUACACAGAGAAACAUUUUACUUGGGUCAGGAUUACUUUGAUCGUUUCAUGGCCACACAAGAGAAUGUUCUUAAAAUGACACUACAGCUUAUUGGCAUCUCCUGUCUCUUCAUCGGUGCCAAAAUGGAGGAAAUUUACCCUCCCAAGGUGCACCAGUUUGCUUAUGUAACUGAUGGAGCCUGCACAGAGGAUGACAUUCUUAGCAUGGAGAUUAUCAUCAUGAAGGAGUUAAAUUGGAGUUUAAGCCCUUUAACCUCAGUGGCUUGGCUCAACAUCUACAUGCAGAUGGCCUAUCUGAAGGAGAAUACUGAAGUUCUCAUGGCCCAGUACCCACAGGCAACAUUUGUACAGAUUGCAGAGCUCUUGGAUCUGUGUAUACUGGAUGUAAAAAGUCUGGAGUUCUCCUACAGCCUACUUGCUGCAUCUGCACUCUACCACUUCUCCUCUUUGGAACUAGUAAUGAAAGUGUCGGGUAUGAUAGAAAAGAAAACAGCAUUUAUUACAUGAAAGUAUAUGUUCUGUUGGUGUGAAUCCCAAAACAAUGGCUUAAAGGAGGAGGGUGUGGCCGGGCCGUAAAUGUGCACGGCCGAUUCUGAAUCAGCUGAUCAGUGGGAGAGAGAAAGGGGAGGCGUCAGUUCAAGAGAGAGAGAGAGAGAGACGCAUACGGUCGCACUGCAUGUGUGUGUUCGUUUAUGUUGUUAUGCAAGUUCAUUUAGAUCAUACAAUUUUACGUUGACUUUUCAGCCAGGUACCGCUUCCUUGCACGUCCUUAAUACUGUUCCAGUGGUGCUGAAAUCCGGGAGGGAUGGAGGAUGCGCUGUCGCAGUGUCCUCGCCACUGCUAUCCGGCAGGGGGGCAGCCAUGCCCGUCUGCCAGAGGGCGGAGGCAUGGUUGAGGACCGGGCGACAGUGAGUCUGGAAGCCGGCGAGCAAGUGUUCUCUCUCUCUCUCUCUCUCUCUCUCUGUCUGUCUGUCUGUCUGUGUUUCCGCUCACCCUUUCCCUCUCCCCAUGCCUUCCCUCGUCUCUCCCCCAGGUUCACAGGAGGUGGGUUGGACCACCGGCUGACAGAAUGGCCAGAGGGGCAGUGUCUUCCCUCCAGAGAUGGGGUGGGAGUUAGUCAGACCGGUGGCGCCCUGACCUGAAUCAGGCUGGGAAGGAGUUUGACAAGGAGAAGGGUGUGGCCAGGCCAUAAUGGUGCAUGGCCAGCACUGAAUCAGUGGGAGAGCAAGAUGAAGGGGAGCCGGAAGCGCCAGUUUAAGAGCGAGUCGCACGUGUCCGUGUUGCAUGUCUAAAAUGGUGUGAUUUGGAGGAAUGUGUAAGAUGGAUGGUUCCUUUCGCCAUGUCAAUCUGUGAGGCGGGUAGCUCAACCCUCAAGACAUUUAAAG